GUCUAUGGCCAUACCAUCCUGAAUGUGCCCAAUCUUGUCUGAUCUUAGAAAACUAAGUAGAGUCAGGCUUGGUAAGUACUUGGAUGGGAGAAAAAUCUUCAGAAAAGACUGCUCAGAGUCAAGCAGUUUGUAGAAA
rnacentral:rRNA from 1 species